rnacentral:rRNA from 1 species
UACGGGGGGGGGGCAAGCGUUGUUCGGAAUUACUGGGCGUAAAGGGCGCGUAGGCGGCCUGCUAAGUCACACGUGAAAUCCCUCGGCUCAACCGGGGGAACUGCGUGUGAUACUGGCGGGCUUGAAUUCGGGAGAGGGAUGUGGAAUUCCAGGUGCAGCGGUGAAAUGCGUAGAUAUCUGGAGGAACACCGGUGGCGAAGGCGGCGUUCUGGACUGUUUCUGACACUGAAAAACGAAAGCCAGGGGAGCAAACGGG